UAUAGGAAAAAGCUUUAAAAAUCUUUUUCUCAAGAACCAUUGGGCCAAAGAAGUUGACAUUUACAUGAAAGCUUUCUGACAUAGUGUAGAUUCAAGUUUGCAAAGGGUAGUUUGGGCCAUAAUAGGGACUAAGUAUUACAUGCAAAUAUAUAGGGAAAAUCUUUAAAAGUUUUCUCGCGAAACGCUGGGCAAAAAAAGUUAACGUGGAAGCUUUCUGAAAUAGAGUAGAUGCAAUUUAGUUAAAAUCAUGUCGGGGGGGUCAAGGCGGGGGUCAAGGCCGCAAUAGGGGAUGAAAAGGUUUACAUGCGAAUAUAUAGGGAAGAGAUUUAAGUAUGAGUCAAGGUGACUCAGGUGAGUGAUGUGGCCCAUAUGCCUUUUGUUUUAAAUCAUGAAAUGGCAUACAUAUUGUACCAGUUUCAAGAAUUCCUUUUGAGUCAAAGUUUGUAUAGGCGGAUGUUUCGUCAAAUUUUGUCCACUUAAUAUAGACUUAGUUCACUUGCUGGAUUAUGUAUUUUUCAGAUAUCCAACAUGUCUUAUAGUUUUAAAUAUGUUUGUCUUUAAUCAGUAUUUAUAAAACAAAACUGUCACUUG